CUGCACUUUAAAGAUAUAAGAAAAUUACUGCUAUUUGUUUUACUGUUACUUUAAUAAAUCACCAUUACCACACCGUUCGAGAUAUCCUAAAUCCGUCCGCAAUUUAAAAUCUUCAGUAUAUUGGCAUCAUGUUGACAAAGUUUGGUGUGAACUACUUGUUUCUGUUUGGAGCAGUAUAAAUCUCUUUAUUAUAUUUUAUUUACUUUAUUAUACUUAUAUUUUAGUCCCUAAAAUUACACAAAUAAUACAUACAACUGUUCCUGACACUGUCUUACAUGUAAUUGACACGCUUCUGUUGAAUAUUUACUUUACAGAAAUGGUUCAGUGUCAUCGGAAAAAGUCCGUUAGCAUCACAACCGUGAGCUAACCAGAGGCUAACUAUAAGAGUCUUCCAUGCUGAUGGCCGUGCAGCAGAGUUGGAGAGGACCUCUUGUCGAAGAACAUCUCCAAGACACUAUGAGCAUCUGACUAGUCCCGACUGCCACCAGUUGAGUCAAUGAUUCAGUGAGUUGCUUGUGGAGAGACAGUCUGGGCAGCAGCAACAAGACAACUAUUACAAGUAGAGAUGGGUUUCAAGAACUGGUGCUACUUUGGUUCCUGACUUGUUCAGUACUGAAAAAAAUGGAUAUAAGCUACAGGAUCAAUAGUGCUGCUAUCAGUAUUUUAGUAACGUUGAUUCAUUACCCUUUAGACACAACCACACAUCAUCCAAACCAUCUCCACGUGGAUGGCUGCAAGGAUCCAGGAUCAAGAGAUCAUUCAUCAUGAAGACUGUUCCAUAGCAAGCAGCGAAUCCUGGGUGAAAGACUAAACCUGGUUGUUUCAGCAUCACUCAGGCAAGACUAAAUACAUUUAAACUGAUUUCAGUAGGUUAUAUGUUUCAGGUCAUCCUGACCAUUGUCUUGUCCAGAAUUUGAAGACAUGCUGGAACUGUAUUUCUCAUGGUUGAAAGAUUUGUGCAGCGGUAUCCAGACAUAUAAGCAGCCUUCCUGGACCCACACGACUAAAGGCUCUGGAGGAGAGACAGAUUCAAGGGAAAGAUGAAAAAUAAGGAAGUCUGGGAACGACUGAAGAAGACCGCAGCGAGGGAAGGAAGUCAUCAUCACAAUGUAAUGUUUGGAGCACAUCCUCAGGACCCGGACUAAAGAAUCUCACAGCAACUGUGGUAAUAACAGGAGACCCAUUUGGUGAGCAGCAGAUUCUCCUGAUGUGUCUGUUGGAGGAGAUCAUGGACCCUUUUCACAAGACGAUGAUGCAUUUCAGCGGUCAUCAUCGUAAAUCCUCGAUUUAAAAAAUAAAAAAUUAUAUAUAUAUUUUGAUUUUUAAAAAAUUAUGUACAUUUAUAAC